rnacentral:rRNA from 1 species
AGUGAACGCUGGCGGUAGGCCUAACACAUGCAAGUCGAACGGCAGCACAGUAAGAGCUUGCUCUUACGGGUGGCGAGUGGCGGACGGGUGAGGAAUACAUCGGAAUCUACUUUUUCGUGGGGGAUAACGUAGGGAAACUUACGCUAAUACCGCAUACGACCUACGGGUGAAAGCAGGGGAUCUUCGGACCUUGCGCGAUUGAAUGAGCCGAUGUCGGGUUAGCUAGUUGGCGGGGUAAAGGCCCACCAAGGCGACGAUCCGUAGCUGGUCUGAGAGGAUGAUCAGCCACACUGGAACUGAGACACGGUCCAGACUCCUACGGGAGGCAGCAGCGGGGAAUAUUGGACAAUGGGCGCAAGCCUGAUCCAGCCAUACCGCGUGGGUGAAGAAGGCCUUCGGGUUGUAAAGCCCUUUUGUUGGGAAAGAAAAGCAGCAGGUUAAUACCCCGCUGUUCUGACGGUACCCAAAGAAUAAGCACCGGCUAACUUCGUG